AGUGAACGCUGGCGGUAGGCCUAACACAUGCAAGUCGAACGGCAGCACAGUAAGAGCUUGCUCUUACGGGUGGCGAGUGGCGGACGGGUGAGGAAUACAUCGGAAUCUACUUUUUCGUGGGGGAUAACGUAGGGAAACUUACGCUAAUACCGCAUACGACCUACGGGUGAAAGCAGGGGAUCUUCGGACCUUGCGCGAUUGAAUGAGCCGAUGUCGGCUUAGCUAGUUGGCGGGGUAAAGGCCCACCAAGGCGACGAUCCGUAGCUGGUCUGAGAGGAUGAUCAGCCACACUGGAACUGAGACACGGUCCAGACUCCUACGGGAGGCAGCAGUGGGGAAUAUUAGACAAUGGGCGCAAGCCUGAUCCAGCCAUACCGCGUGAGUGAAGAAGGCCUUCGGGUUGUAAAGCCCUUUUGUUGGGAAAGAAAAGCAGCAGGUUAAUACCCCGCUGUUCUGACGGUACCCAAAGAAUAAGCACCGGCUAACUUCGUG
rnacentral:rRNA from 1 species